GCUCUGGUAGCUUAGCACAAAGCACUGGUCUUGUAAACCAGAGACGAGAUUUACCUCCCAGAACA
rnacentral:tRNA from 1 species